GAUGAACGCUGGCGGCGUGCUUAACACAUGCAAGUCGAACGAAGCACUUUAUUUGAUUUCCUUCGGGACUGAUUAUUUUGUGACUGAGUGGCGGACGGGUGAGUAACUCGUGGGUAACCUGCCUUGUACAGGGGGAUGACAGUUGGAAACGGCUGCUACUACUGCAUAAUCGCACAGCAUCGCAUGCUGCAGUGUGAAAAAGUCCGGUGGUAUAAGAUGUACCCGCGUUGGUUGAGCUAGUUGGUGGGGUAAAGGCCCACCAAGGCAACGAUAGCUAGCCGAACUGGGAGGGUGACCGGCCACAGUGGGACUGAGACACGGCCCAAACUCCGGCGGGAGGAAGCGGUAGUGAAGAUUGAAGAAUGGGAGAAAGCGUGAUGAAGCCACGCCGCGGGAGGGCAGCAUUAGUGUGGUAUGCCAAGUUCUCCUAGCAGGGAAGAUAAUGAAGGGAACUGACUAAGAAGGCACCGCCAAACACCGU
rnacentral:rRNA from 1 species